rnacentral:rRNA from 1 species
CAGUAGCCGCGGGAACACGGAGGGGGCUAGCGUUGUUCGGAAUUACUGGGCGUAAAGCGCACGUAGGCGGCUUGGUAAGUUAGAGGUGAAAGCCUGGAGCUCAACUCCAGAAUUGCCUUUAAGACUGCCGAGCUAGCAGGUGAGAGAGGUAAGUGGAAUUCCGAGUGUAGAGGUGAAAUUCGUAGAUAUUCGGAAGAACACCAGUGGCGAAGGCGGCUUACUGGCUCAUACUGGACGCUGAGGUGCGAAAGCGUGGGGAGCAAACAGGAUUAGAGACCCCCGUAGUCCCUGUCUCUUAUAC